CCUACGGGCGGCAGCAGUGGGGAAUAUUGCACAAUGGGGGGAACCCUGAUGCAGCGACGCCGCGUGAGUGAAGAAGUAUUUCGGUAUGUAAAGCUCUAUCAGCAGGGAAGAAAAUGACGGUACCUGAUUAAGAAGCCCCGGCUAACUACGUGCCAGCAGCCGCGGUAAUACGUAGGGGGCAAGCGUUAUCCGGAUUUACUGGGUGUAAAGGGAGCGUAGACGGCAGCGCAAGUCUGAAGGGAAAUGCCGGGGCUUAACCCCGGAACUGCUUUGGAAACUGUGCAGCUAGAGUGCAGGAGAGGUAAGUGGAAUUCCUAGUGUAGCGGUGAAAUGCGUAGAUAUUAGGAGGAACACCAGUGGCGAAGGCGGCUUACUGGACUGUAACUGACGUUGAGGCUCGAAAGCGUGGGGAGCGAACAGGAUUAGAUACCCCUGUAGUC
rnacentral:rRNA from 1 species